rnacentral:rRNA from 1 species
UACGUAGGGGUCGAGCGUUGUCCGGAGUCACUGGGCGUAAAGCGCACGUAGGCGGAUUGUUAAGUCAGGGGUGAAAUCCUGGAGCUCAACUCCAGAACUGCCUUUGAUACUGGCGAUCUUGAGUCCGGGAGAGGUGAGUGGAACUGCGAGUGUAGAGGUGAAAUUCGUAGAUAUUCGCAAGAACACCAGUGGCGAAGGCGGCUCACUGGCCCGGUACUGACGCUGAGGUGCGAAAGCGUGGGGAGCAAACAGG